CCCGCAACGAGCGCAACCCCUGCUGUCUGUUGCCACCACGAGAGGUGGGGACUCAGGCGGAACUGCCGGUGACAAACCGGAGGAAGGUGGGGACGACGUCAAGUCAUCAUGGCCCUUAUGUCCUGGGCUACACACGUGCUACAAUGGCCGGUACAGAGCGCAGCGAGGCCGCGAGGCGGAGCGAAUCGCUUAAAGCCGGUCCCAGUACGGAUUGGAGUCUGCAACCCGACUCCAUGAAGUUGGAAUCGCUAGUAAUCGCGCAUCAGCAUGGCGCGGUGAAUACGUUCCCGGGCCUU
rnacentral:rRNA from 1 species